CACACACGCACACACACACACACACGCACGCACAAAGGUACUAACAAUCAUGAUUUGAUGUUAAACACACAGCAGUAGGGUAAUAUUAUCCUACAGUAGGUUGGGUCUCCUCUCCUUUGUAUGCCAGUCAUCUAAAUCCCCCUGACAGACAAGCAGGUCAGUUGAGGAGGAGAAAAGCAUCUUAGCUGACUGACUGUGUUCAAGAUCUUCCCUUCCUGUAAUGGAAAUGGGAGGCGGGAACAAAAUGUAAGCACAAACACAUGGUUUCAUUCAAUGUUAAAACCACUACAUUCUGAACAACAACAACAUGUGGCAGCCAUUUAAAACAAUGCAACACAGAAGGAGGAACAGGGGGUGGGUCCCACACACAGCCAGGCUGUUCUCAGAUGCCACUCCUUCUCUAAAGGCCCCCAACAUAUAAACAGGGGCUCUGGCUGUAGAGGCCUCCUCUAUCAGUCAAUCCCCAGGCCUGUGUGUGUUGUGUCCUCCUGGCCCUAAGACAUCAGGAUUACACCAUCCCAUCCAGAGCCAAUUAUGGGCUUUGCUUUCCUCCUCCUGCCUGCUGCUCUACCUGGCUCUCCUACACACCUCUCAAUGUGACUGUGUUCUCUUCCACAGAGUGUGUGCGCCCACUACAGAUCAUGCUAGAGGCCACACCAGGUUGGAUGGGAUAUUAGCAGAGUUGUCUAUGUUGUUACCUCACACACAAUGUUAAAGGCCUAGUGCAGUCAAACAUUUGAUUUACUUAUGUUUUAUAUACUGUAUAGGAGGUUGGAAUAAUACUGUGAAAUUAUAAUAAUGCCCUUUUAGUAUAGGAGCUGUUUGAAAAGACUGCCUGAAAUUUCAGCCUGUUUUGGUGGGAUGGAGCUUUGGAAUGCCUGAUGACAUCACCUGGCGGAAAAUGUGUUAAUAGACCAAUAAGAAAAGUGUUCCAAACCUCUCUGCCAAUAAACAGCUAGUUGCUAAGAAGCAAUAUUUGUUUAUUUUUCUGGCCAUUCUAAUUGAAAACAAUCACAGUAAGAUAAUUAUUUGUUCCCCAGAAAUUAUUUAUUAUUGAGAUGAAAACGGCUGCAUUGGACCUUUAAGAAUACCCUGUUCCCCUGUUCUCCCUAACCCCAACAUCCUAAUACCCUGUUGCCCCUUGUCCCUGUUCCCCAGUGUCCCUGUUCCCCAGUGUCCCUGUUCCCCUGUUCCCCACUCCAUGUGAUGUGGUAUGUCUCCCGUCUACCCCCCAACAUCCUAAUACCCUGGCUAGGGGCAGUGUCUCCCGUCUACCCCCCAACAUCCUAAUACCCAGGCUAGGGGCGGUGUCUCCCGUCUACUCCCCAACAUCCUAAUACCCAGGCUAGGGUCGGUGUCUCCCGUCUAACCCCCAACAUCCUAAUACCCAGGCUAGGGACGGUGUCUCCCGUCUACCCCCAACCCCCAACAUCCUAAUACCCAGGCUAGGGGCGGUGUCUCCUGUCUACUCCCCAACAUCCUAAUACCCAGGCUAGGGGCGGUGUCUCCUGUCUACUCCCUAACAUCCUAAUACCCUGGCUAGGGGCGGUGUCUCCCGUCUAACCCCCAACAUCCUAAUACCCAGGCUAGGGGCGGUGUCUCCUGUCUCUACCCCAACAUCCUAAUACCCUGGCUAGGGGCGGUGUCUCCUGUCUAACCCCAACAUCCUAAUACCCAGGCUAGGGGCGGUGUCUCCCGUCUAACCCCCAACAUCCUAAUACCCAGGCUAGGGGCGUUGUCUCCUGUCUACUCCCCAACAUCCUAACACCCUGUGUGCCCCUGUCUCCUGUCUACUCCCCAACAUCCUAAUACCCUGGCUAGGGGCGGUGUCUCCUGUCUACCCCCCAACAUCCUAAUACCCAGGCUAGGGGUGGUGUCUCCUGUCUACAUCCUAAUACCCUGGCUAGGGUCUGUGUCAGGACAGUAGAGGGCCUCCACUAUACUACCCUCCAGAACAACACACCAGACCCUCCACUAUACUACCCUCCAGAACAACACACCAGACCCUCCACUAUACUACCCUCCAUACCAAUCACAGACCCUCCACUACACGACCCUCCAGACCAAUAACAGACCCUCCACUAUACUACCCUCCAGACCAAUAACAGACCCUCCACUAUACUACCCUCCAGAACAGACCCUCCACUAUACUACCCUCCAGAACAAUCACACCAGACCCUGAACUAUACUACCCUCCAGAACAAUCACACCAGACCCUGCACUAUACUACCCUCCAGAACAAUCACACCAGACCCUCCACACUACCCUACUCACAGACCCUCCAGACCCUCCACUAUACUACCCUCCAGACCCUCCACUAUACUACCCUCCAGAACAAUCACACCAGACCCUCCACUAUACUACCCUAAGUCUAAAUAUUGCUGUUACAUUGUACAACCUUCAAUGUUGUCAUAAUUAUGUACAAUUCUGGCAAGUUAAUUACGGUCUUUGUUAGGAAUAAAUGGACUUCACACAGUUCACAACGAGCCAGGCGGCCCAAACUGCUGCAUAAACCCUGACUGCUUGCACGGAACGCAAGAGAUGUGACACAAUUUCCCUAGUUAAAAGCAAUUCAUGUUAGCAGGCAAUAUUAACUAAAUAUGCAGGUGUACAAAUAUAUACUUGUGUAUUGAUUUUAAAGAAAGGCAUUGAUGUUUAUGGUUUGGUACACAUUGGUGCAACGCCAGUGAUUUUUUCGCAAAUGCGCUUGUUAAAUCAACACCCUUUUGGCGAAGUAGGCUGUUAUUUGAUGAGAAAUUAGCAGGCACCGCAUUGAUCAUAUGCAACGCAG
ensembl:lncRNA